rnacentral:lncRNA from 1 species
UCACUUUAGUACUGUUUCAACCUUGCAAACUCUUAAGGAAAAUAUGGGUUCACAAAAACACUAAAAAUCUGAGUUAUGCUUUAUAAAGGAAAACAAUUAAACCUCACAACUUUUCUUUGAAAUUUACACAGUACGACACGUUAUAAAUGUAAGGCUUUGAGAAAAACAGUAAAAACUCGUGACCUCAUAAUCAUCACCCCCCCAAAAAAA